UACAGAGGUCUCAAGCGUUGUUCGGAUUCAUUGGGCGUAAAGGGUGCGUAGGCGGCGCGGUAAGUCGGGUGUGAAAUCUCGGGGCUUAACUCCGAAACUGCAUUCGAUACUGCCGUGCUUGAGGACUGGAGAGGAGACUGGAAUUUACGGUGUAGCGGUGAAAUGCGUAGAUAUCGUAAGGAAGACCAGUGGCGAAGGCGGGUCUCUGGACAGUUCCUGACGCUAGAGGCACGAAGGCCCAGGGGGAGCAAACGGGG
rnacentral:rRNA from 1 species